rnacentral:rRNA from 1 species
CACACGACUCUCGGCAACGGAUAUCUCGGCUCUCGCAUCGAUGAAGAACGUAGCGAAAUGCGAUACCUGGUGUGAAUUGCAGAAUCCCGCGAACCAUCGAGUCUUUGAACGCAAGUUGUGCCCGAGGCCACUUGGCCGAGGGCACGCCUCCCUGGGCGUCACGC